UUUGCUGCCUUGGAUCUUUUGCUCUGGAAAAGCCAAGUUCUAUGUCAUUUAAGUAGCCCUGUGGAGACACCCAACUUUCAGCAAGGACUGGUGUCCUGCUGUUAACAGUCAUAUGGGAGACUGGUUUGUGAAGCCAGAAAGAUGCAGACUUCAAUCCUGGACUCUUUCAUUUUCUAGUGAAGCGGGCAGUCAAAGAUGCUAACAUUUCCUCAGUCACAUUGUUUUGAAGAGAAAAUGAGGAAAGUGGAGGUCAUCAUCAUGGAGAGGCUGAGACAGCCAGUGGCAUCAAUUCACUUGGCCUCAUCAUUUGAAAGAGAUCAAUCCUCAAGAAGGAACUGUGUUGUAAGGAUGAAAUGAGGGUGAAGGGAAAGAGUCAGAGCAGCGCCUGCUCAAAGGAUGUGCUCAGUGGCAAAGAGUGAAGUUCUGUUUCACAAAAAGGGUGGUGGUGUUUGCUUGCUAUU